AUAGAUAGAUAGAUACAGUUUUACUGACCCUGUUCAUUCUUAAUAUAUAUAUAGUUAUUAAAUAAUAUUUUAAUUUAAAAUGUCUAGAAAAUUGUAUAAAUGGUAAAUGGAAAUAUAUAUAUAUGUGUGUAUAUAAUUGUGCACUCAUUUUUAUUAAACAAAAGAUAGAGAGUAAAAUAGAUUUUAAGUUCUGUUGAGAUAUUGCUCAGAAUGCAUUUAAACCAUACUGCAUGUUCCUCUGUGCCUCUGUGUUUCAGGGGUGUGAAGUCCAGGUCAGGGUGGGGGAGGGGAGUGGUUAAUCAAGAAGUUCAUGCACAUUAUGAACCUGCAAACCUGCAGAGCAAUUGAAUACCACAUUUGGCGCUAAAACUUCAAAGCAGCUAAUGCUGCAUUCAUGCAAUACAACAAUUACAGUUUUACUGUCCCCGACUCAGUAAGAAGUCCCUAUUACAGUUUCUACACUAUGUUAAGUAAUCUCUCCUUACAAAUCUUAUUAGGGAUAGUUAUUUCAAGUGAGAGCAAUUCACUUCAUAAGAAAUAUUUUGGUUUUGAAACAUUUUGCAAACUCCAACAUGAAGACGCAAUGUACUUUACAUCUGCACCUGAACGCAUCAUUACAAACAUGGAUCGGCACCAUAGACUGUAUAUAUAAAUCGGCACAGAAGAAGAUUACUGAGACUGAGAAGCAGCUCCACAUGGUGUGUGAAAGAAGCAACACAGCAAUGAGUAACGAAUUACAGCAGGAAAAACACACACAACUGCUCCAGAGCUCUCACGACCCGAGCACAAGAGGCUUCAUCCAGAACCUGCUGAUACAGACGAGAGAGGGAGAAAUAGAGUUAAAAGAAUAAUGGAAAGAAGAAGAAAGCAAAACGAUCAACUGGUUCUGCUGUACAGAAGGGAAACCAAAGAAGGCCCUGGAGUGAGGCAGAAAAAAAGGCUGUGUGGAGUCAACUUGGCAAUUGGAUUACGCUGAUGAAAGUCCCUGGUAAAAAAAAGUGCACUGAGAGAUACAUGACUCUAAAUGAAUGCUAAUGUCGCGCCGUAUUUCCGAGUGUAGAUAAGCAGCUGUGUGCUAGCAUGUUCACCGUGUGAAAUAUGGUGAUGUCUACGGUGGCCCUGAAGUGCAAGUCAAAACAACA